AACUAGGGUUUGGGGAGCCCAUUCACCGCCGGUCCGACGCCAUUCCGCCGCCAGUGCCCGCGCCGGUCAACGUCCUCCCCUGCGCUCGUUCUCCACCCACUUUUGGUCGCCAGUCCGGUGGUCGCCAUCCUCCUCCUCCGCCGUCCUUCGCCCCUAUCGUCCUCAGCCGAGCUCGUGGUCGCCGUCCUCGUCCUCCGCCCAAAUCCUCCUCCGCCAAGCUCCUCCUCCAUGGUCGCCUCCUUCACCGGGGUCGUCAGCUGUCGGGCGGCCUCUGUCUCUCAUAGCGAGCGUGGAGAUAGUGGAGGAGAGCAACGUCGAUUUGCUGAAGAUUCUGAAGAGUGCAAACACCAUAUUGUAGUGAACAUGGUCAUAUGUUGGCUAAGCUCCCAGUAUGAUCAGAUGAACUGAUGAUGAUGCUUCAUUUUGACCCCUCAUCUAUGCUUUGUUGCGCAAUCUGACAUGGUUUCUGCUAUUUGAAAGUCUCAAAGAAACUGCUGUUUUCUUGAUGUUCCUUGGUUUCUUGAGCUCCCAGUUGGUGUUGUGAAGAAUAAAAGACGUACAGGAAGUUCCUGGAGCAACACCCCUGAUAUGAUCUAACUAUCAUGGAGAGGUGGUAGUGGGAGUGCGGGACACAAUAUUAGAUAGUCUUAUAGCACUACUGGUUAUUGGUUAAGGUGGUAGUGACACCAAAUUGUUUUUUUAGGAAUACAUGUCUAAACUUCAUGGGUAGCAGUGGACACCAGGAAUUUUUUUUUUUAAGAAACAUGGCCACACGCUGGCUAAGAUGGUAAUGGAUGCCAUACUUUUUGGACUAUGCGUAUUUGAACCAAUGGUGGUUAAUGACGUUGCUUGCAUUUACUACUGUUGUUUUACUGGUGGUUAAUGAUAUCACUUGUAUUUAUUUCCGUUAUAUGAUU